rnacentral:tRNA from 1 species
GUAGACAUAGUUUAAACCAAAAUACUAGAUUGUGAUUCUAGAGAAAGGGGUUAAAACCCCCUUGUCCACC